rnacentral:rRNA from 1 species
GACGAACGCUGGCGGCGUGCUUAACACAUGCAAGUCGAACGGAAAGGCCCUGCUUUUGUGGGGUGCUCGAGUGGCGAAAGGGUGAGUAACACGUGAGUAACCUGCCCUUGACUUUGGGAUAACUUCAGGAAACUGGGGCUAAUACCGGAUAGGAGCUCCUGCUGCAUGGUGGGGGUUGGAAAGUUUCGGCGGUUGGGGAUGGACUCGCGGCUUAUCAGCUUGUUGGUGGGGUAGUGGCUUACCUAGGCUUUGACGGGUAGCCGGCCUGAGAGGGUGACCGGCCACAUUGGGACUGAGAUACGGCCCAGACUCCUACGGGAGGCAGCAGUGGGGAAUAUUGCACAAUGGGCGGAAGCCUGAUGCAGCAACGCCGCGUGCGGGAUGACGGCCUUCGGGUUGUAAACCGCUUUCGCCUGUGACGAAGCGUGAGUGACGGUAAUGGGUAAAGAAGCACCGGCUAACUACGUG